UUUUAUGAGAGUUUGAUCCUGGCUCAGGACGAACGCUGGCGGCGUGCCUAAUACAUGCAAGUCGAACGCUUCUUUUUCCACCGGAGCUUGCUCCACCGGAAAAAGAGGAGUGGCGAACGGGUGAGUAACACGUGGGUAACCUGCCCAUCAGAAGGGGAUAACACUUGGAAACAGGUGCUAAUACCGUAUAACAAUCGAAACCGCAUGGUUUUGAUUUGAAAGGCGCUUUCGGGUGUCGCUGAUGGAUGGACCCGCGGUGCAUUAGCUAGUUGGUGAGGUAACGGCUCACCAAGGCGACGAUGCAUAGCCGACCUGAGAGGGUGAUCGGCCACAUUGGGACUGAGACACGGCCCAAACUCCUACGGGAGGCAGCAGUAGGGAAUCUUCGGCAAUGGACGAAAGUCUGACCGAGCAACGCCGCGUGAGUGAAGAAGGUUUUCGGAUCGUAAAACUCUGUUGUUAGAGAAGAACAAGGAUGAGAGUAACUGUUCAUCCCUUGACGGUAUCUAACCAGAAAGCCACGGCUAACUACGUGCCAGCAGCCGCGGUAAUACGUAGGUGGCAAGCGUUGUCCGGAUUUAUUGGGCGUAAAGCGAGCGCAGGCGGUUUCUUAAGUCUGAUGUGAAAGCCCCCGGCUCAACCGGGGAGGGUCAUUGGAAACUGGGAGACUUGAGUGCAGAAGAGGAGAGUGGAAUUCCAUGUGUAGCGGUGAAAUGCGUAGAUAUAUGGAGGAACACCAGUGGCGAAGGCGGCUCUCUGGUCUGUAACUGACGCUGAGGCUCGAAAGCGUGGGGAGCAAACAGGAUUAGAUACCCUGGUAGUCCACGCCGUAAACGAUGAGUGCUAAGUGUUGGAGGGUUUCCGCCCUUCAGUGCUGCAGCUAACGCAUUAAGCACUCCGCCUGGGGAGUACGACCGCAAGGUUGAAACUCAAAGGAAUUGACGGGGGCCCGCACAAGCGGUGGAGCAUGUGGUUUAAUUCGAAGCAACGCGAAGAACCUUACCAGGUCUUGACAUUCUUUGACCACUCUAGAGAUAGAGCUUCCCCUUCGGGGGCAAAGUGACAGGUGGUGCAUGGUUGUCGUCAGCUCGUGUCGUGAGAUGUUGGGUUAAGUCCCGCAACGAGCGCAACCCUUAUUGUUAGUUGCCAUCAUUUAGUUGGGCACUCUAGCAAGACUGCCGGUGACAAACCGGAGGAAGGUGGGGAUGACGUCAAAUCAUCAUGCCCCUUAUGACCUGGGCUACACACGUGCUACAAUGGGAAGUACAACGAGUCGCAAAGUCGCGAGGCUAAGCUAAUCUCUUAAAGCUUCUCUCAGUUCGGAUUGUAGGCUGCAACUCGCCUACAUGAAGCCGGAAUCGCUAGUAAUCGCGGAUCAGCACGCCGCGGUGAAUACGUUCCCGGGCCUUGUACACACCGCCCGUCACACCACGAGAGUUUGUAACACCCGAAGUCGGUGAGGUAACCUUUUGGAGCCAGCCGCCUAAGGUGGGAUAGAUGAUUGGGGUGAAGUCGUAACAAGGUAGCCGUAUCGGAAGGUGCGGCUGGAUCACCUCCUUUCUAAGGAA
rnacentral:rRNA from 1 species